AUCAGGGUGUGACAUUAUAUUCAUUUGUCAUCCAAACUGGUUGCAUUUCGGAUGCAGUCUGGCUAUUAGGUAAUUUUCCAUAACAAGGAACUGUAUGUACUCGAGCUCCCCUCUGUAUUCAAAAACGAAACUUCAGAUUCCUGUUACGAGGCGUAGAGGCAGAGGAACAGACAGAUGCAGCAGCGUUGGAGAAAACAUCUGAAAAGUUUGUCUGAGAUUGUCUGGCUGUAAUCUGACACAUGAAUCCCUAGAAACUCUGGGCUCAGCUCUCCAGUCACCAUCUGAUUGAGCUGGACCUCAGCGACAACAACCUGAGGUGACUGAGAUUCAAUUGCUGGGAAAUGGCCUGAGAAGUCCACAUUGCAAACUAGCCAACCUAGGUCUGAGGGAGUGGAAUAUGACAGGUGUAUGCUGUUCAGAUUUGGCCACAGUUUUGUGUUCAUCCAACUCAAAGCUGAAAGAACUGGAACUACGAGAGAAUAACCUGCAAAACUCAGGAGUUGCACUUCUCUCUGCUGUGCUCAGAGACAUACAUUGUGAAGUACAGAGAUUGGGCCAGACAACCUGCAGAGGAAGGCUGUAUUUAUCUGGCUUCCGCUCUGAGAUCCAACCCUUCACACCUGAGAGCUGGACCGGAGUUACAAUCACCCAGGCGACUCUGGAGUGAAGCGGCUCUCUGCUGUACUGGAAGAUCCACACAGCAUGCUGAAGAAACUCAGAGUGGAUCACGGUGGGGAAUGCAGGGCCAAAGCAGGGCUGAGAAAAUAAAAGUCUGUGCUAGAUAGGAAUUACAAUUAAAAUGUGGGCUACAAGUAGUCAAACAAAACAUUUUACACAUGUUAACAUUAACGUGAGAGAAUUUGUACACUCUUGUAUAAAGUAAUACACUGG